CCUACGGGUGGCAGCAGUGAGGAAUAUUGGUCAAUGGGCGCGAGCCUGAACCAGCCAAGUAGCGUGAAGGAUGACUGCCCUACGGGUUGUAAACUUCUUUUAUAAAGGAAUAAAGUGAGGCACGUGUGCCCUUUUGUAUGUACUUUAUGAAUAAGGAUCGGCUAACUCCGUGCCAGCAGCCGCGGUAAGACGGAGGAGCCGAGCGUUAUCCGGAUUUAUUGGGUUUAAAGGGAGCGUAGAUGGGUUGUUAAGUCAGUUGUGAAAGUUUGCGGCUCAACCGUAAAAUUGCACUUGAUACUGGCAGGCUUGAGUACAGUUGAGGUAGGCAGAAUUCGUGGUGUAGCGGUGAAAUGCUUAGAUAUCACGAAGAACUCCGAUUGCGAAGGCAGCUUACUAAACUGCCACUGACAUUGAUGCUCGAAAGUGUGGGUAUCAAACAGGAUUAGAUACCCGGGUAGUC
rnacentral:rRNA from 1 species